CUUACACCUCUAAUAUCCUCCUUUUAGUAUCUACCCUAUCACUGCAGUGUUUUCCAAGUAUAGAUGAAUGGGUGAAAAAACAUGGCCAUCUGAUGGUCAAAACUCCGGAUGUAAAAGAGACAUUCACAUACUGUUCCAUCAAGAGACAGUUUUCAACGGGCUUCGAAACUGGCUUUGAAGUGAUCUCAUGGGAGCCAUUAGCCAAAGCAACAGCCCUGCUAGAAGAGGAAUGGCAUCAUGGAAUAGAGUGGGGUGACAGCAUUCAGCAAGCACGUUUCUGGAUGACAGAAACAGUUAAUGACUGCCUACAAACCAUCUGGCAUCAGUACAGUGCAUUGCCUGCUGGGAAAGGAAUAAAAAACGAAAGAUUGACAGUCCUUCUCUUUAAAAGCUGUGACAAAACAGGACUGCAGAGGCUUUAACAUGAAGGCUGAAGACGCGUAAUUUAAAUACCUUCCCAUUAGCAGGUAUGCAUUCCCCUUUGUAAGAUGUUGGGUAU